CAAAAGAAAGGGGAAGGGAUGAUGGAAAAACAGCACCCUGAGACUGACAGUCCCCAGGACCAAUGGGGAGAGGCCAAUGCUCCAGAUCAGCCUGAUUGACAGGGCGGGCAGCUAAUCAGCACGUCAGGGGGAUCAGAAAGGUCCCGUCCUCCGUGUGAGCUAGAAUUUCCUGUGUCAGACAGGGUGGGGCGGAGCGAAGGCGGAAGCAGAGGCCCGAGCUGAGCUGGGUCGUGCCAGCCCGAGGGGCCAGAAAAGCCGCCCAGGGAGAGCAGACCCUGUGCUGGGAGCUGAGCUGCAGCCACAGAGCCAGGGGGCUGGCAGCAAAGUGCUGAGGCCGAGUGGAGCCGGAGCCAGGCAAACCUCGAACCCAGACCCCACGGGACGGGACGCCAGUGAAAAGAAACAGAACAAGGACGAUUCAGUGACCUGGAGUUGAUUUGGUCAGCGCCUGCUAAGGCCUGGUUGACCCUGGGGAUAAAAGCCGUGUCAAGGG